rnacentral:lncRNA from 1 species
CCUGACUACAGAGAUUUGAGUGUUUCCACAUGACUGAAGGGUUUCACUAUGUAGACCCUGGUCGGCCUGGAACUCUAUAGACCAGACUGGCCUCGAGCUCAGAUCCGUCCCCCUCUGCUGUCCCAGCACGGGGAUUAAGAACGCGCCACCACUACAGCUGACCGGAGCUUCACUUUGGUUAGACACAAACACAACACAGCUAGUCUGUCUUCUCUUCCCGACCUACGAUCUCUC